rnacentral:lncRNA from 1 species
GAAUGGGUUACCUGAGGUUGCCAACUCUCCUUUGGAUGCGGGAUGAUCCCAAAGUGUUGGAACCAUAAAUUCCUCUUGCUUUUGUAUCCAUCAAUCUCUGCUAAGGCUUGUCAGAGUCUUACAGUACCCUCAAACUGAGAGCCAAAACCAACUUACUUCCUAAAGCAGCUUUUGUCAAGUAUUUCAUCACAAGAGGGAGAGAAGUAACAGCACAGUAACCAACCCCCUCCUCAGCUACUUUGAUCUCACAGCUAUUUCUACACCACUCCCUCCACUUUUCCUCAGAGCGCUUACUUCAGCUUAAAGGCAAUGACCCUGGCAGCUCAUACAUACAGGCUAGCAUGACAUAUGCCAUGUUUUUUUGGGUGACUCUGGUUGGUGACAUGAACUGCUUCUGCCAAGCGAUCAAGAGGAGAAACUGUUGAAAACCCUUGCUGUGUGUGAGGUAUAUAGAACAUGUUGGAUGCAUGAUAUACUUAGCUUAUGAUGGAACCAUCAGACUCUAAUCCCAGCAUACGCUUUGGGGCCACUUAGAAUC